GGGGGCGACCUGGUUUCGACGGGAAUAAUGGAGCAAAGCUUGCGCAUACCGAGAUCUCAAUUUCUCGUAAAACAUUGAAUAAAAAUAGUCGCAAACGACGAAACUUUCGCUUUAGCUGCUUAAGCUAAGCCGUUGCAACGGUUGGUCAGUGGGCCGUGAGGUGUUACCUCGGCAGCGUCAUAUUACAUUGGCUGGUUGAUAAGUGGGUCACUUACUUUAUCAAUAAGAUUUAAGGUGACUGGUUUUUGAUUUGCCUGUCCGUUGGCUAGAUCAGAAAUAAGAUUGAAUAAACUGGACUAAGUAUGUAGACCACUUUGUGAAAGGUUUUCGGACGGGGGUUCGAUUCCCCCCGCCUCCACCA
rnacentral:tmRNA from 2 species